rnacentral:rRNA from 1 species
AGAGUUUGAUCAUGGCUCAGGAUGAACGCUGGCGGCGUGCCUAACACAUGCAAGUCGCACGGGGGGAGCAAUCCUUCAGUGGCGCACGGGUGAGGAACACGUAGCUGACCUGCCCCGAAGAGCGGGAUAACGGUUCGAAAGGACUGCUAAUACCGCAUAAGCUCACACUGAUUAAAUAGGUGUGAGAAAAGGCGUAAGCCGUUUCGGGAGGGGGCUGCGACCCAUCAGGUAGUUGGUAAGGUAAUGGCUUACCAAGCCGACGACGGGUAACGGGUCUGAGAGGAUGAUCCGUCACACUGGGACUGAGACACGGCCCAGACUCCUACGGGAGGCAGCAGUGAGGAAUAUUGCACAAUGGGCGCAAGCCUGAUGCAGCGACGCCGCGUGGGUGAUGAAGGCUUUCGGGUCGUAAAACCCUUUUCUGUGUGACGAGUAAGGACGGUAGCACAGGAAUAAGCCUCGGCUAACUACGUGCCAGCAGCCGCGGUAAAACGUAGGAGGCGAGCGUUAUCCGGAGUUACUGGGCGUAAAGCGCGUGUAGGUGGUUGGAUGCGUCUGCUGUGAAAUGUCCCGGCUUAACCGGGAGGGUGCGGGAGAUACGGUCUGACUUGAGGGUGACAGAGGAGCGUAGAAUUCCGGGUGUAGUGGUGAAAUGCGUAGAGAUCCGGAGGAAUACCAGUGGCGCAAGCGGCGCUCUGGGUCACAUCUGACACUGAGACGCGAAGGCAUGGGGAGCGAACGGGAUUAGAAACCCCGGUAGUCCAUGCAGUAAACGAUGCAGACUGGGUGUGGGGUACGCAAGUAUUCUGUGCCGAAGCUAACGCGCUAAGUCUGCCGCCUGGGAAGUACGGUCGCAAGACUAAAACUCAAAGGAAUUGACGG